CAAAGCGCGGCCACAUCGCAGCGAAGCAGAGGGGACCUCGACUUUUCCCUCUAUUUGUUUCGCAGCUGUGCAGCUCCAAGGGAAAUCACACGGCCGUGCUUUUCUCAUUAAGCGCCGUCACAUUUUCCAGACAGAAGCUCAGAGCCCAGUGCUGUAAAACUGGGAUUUUUUUCCUCCUUUUUCAGCUGCAGAUGCUUAAAGAUCCCUGGCUGAAGGAUCCUUCCCGGCCCCACUGAGGUAUCUGUAUGUGUACAGGUGGGUGUUGUCCCAGCAGAGGAGCCCCCCACACAGACGUUGCAGCUCCAUUGCCCCCAGCCCGCCCAGGGCUGCACCGCCGGCUCUUCGCAUCGCAUGAUCCCGAGCUGCUUUUGAAGGAUGUGACCUAAUUAAGGCUCAGCUCUUUUCAAUAUGAUUUUCAUAGUCCCAUGGGUUCCUUUUCCCCGUGCGACCGGCCGGCCCGGCUGGGCCUCCUGGGACGUCUGGGAGCAGGAGGAGAGAACAUCAGAGCGCAGCCCCAUGCGGUGCGGUGCAAAGGCCGUGCACGGCCCCCACUUUGCCUCCUUGCUGCAGUGCUGAUGGCGCAGAGCUGAGGGCUCCCUGCAGCCCCCCUGGCCGUGCCAUUGAGCUGAGUUUGCCAAGCUGAGGCAGUUGCCAUCAAGCCCCAGGGGUGGGUGUCAGGGCUGAGCCUCAGCGCCACAGGGCCGUCCCCAUUUCCUUUGGGUAGGGACCCCUUCCCACGGGGAAGGCCCAUUCGCCCGUUUUUGGCUAAAAACAGAAUAAAUGGUUCAACUCUGACCCCAAACCCGGCCCAGUCCCAACCUUCACCACCCACAGCAGCCAGACACCGAGCCUGGGGGCUGUUGGACGGGGAAAGAGGUGGCCUUUGUGUUGCAUUUGUAGGAUGUGUCCCCUCAGUGGGGCCCUGACCCAGGGCUGAGCAGGAGGAAGCCCCCGUUGCAGAACCCGGGUGCACUGUGGACAAGUGAGCAACGCGCCAUGCAUUCCCACAGCAAAGACAGGAGCUGGGACGUCAUGCAUGGGUUGGCAAAGCAGCUGAGCAAGCUGAUCUGCAAUUAAGGACGUUCUUCACUUCCUUCUCCUGAUUAGCAUGGAGAAAACCCAUUCACUCAUACACCAAGUGCCCCAUGCUUUGGCUGGAAUGGUGUUCCCGUGCACCAGGAGCGGGUGAGCAGCUCGGCCAGGCCAGGGCGGCUGUAGGGUGCAUCACACAGACACCCCUUGCAGGAGGAGACGUCCCAACUCCCAGCACUCCCAGUGCUCCCGGUGUGCUGCUGCCUGCAUCUGCUCCGGGGCAUCGCCUUCCCCACGCUGCCAGCCUGCAGCAAAAUGGCAUUUCAGAGCGUCGUGGCAAAACGGCAUCCCGACAUCAUACAACCACACAACCGUAUCACUUCUUGGCAUUAAAACCAGAG
ensembl:lncRNA